AUGGAGAUGGGGUUAACUCCUAAAACCCUCGAUUGUCAUUAUGUGAGAGAUAUUAUGUACUACAUUGACAAUCCUGAGAAAACCCCAUUCAACUUUAUAAUGGGAGACACAUUGGAUCAACGUGAAUACUUUAGGGAUUAUCGCUUUACACAAAAAGGGAAACUAUUAUGGGAUAAAAUUAAUAUGCUGCGUUGGUAUGCUUGGGGUCUAUGCUUGAGAUAUGAUAUUACUAGUUGCUCCAGGAUGAAGGCUCCACACCUUCCCUUUUCAUGCAAAUUUAUUGAUAAUGAAACCUUAGCUUCUUAUGCUAAUGGUAUAUAUGAUUACUAUGAUGUUGAACAAAUAGAAGAAUUUGUUGCUUUUAAGGUUGCUUACGAAAUUGAAUCUUUGUUUGAAAAGUAUGAAGCUUUUGAUGAUGAUGGUGUUUAUAGACCUGAAAAUCUUGCUAUACUUAGAUAUUGCUACGAAAAUUAUGAAUACAAUUACAAUAUUAAUGCAUUUAUUGAGAAAGUCUCCGCUGUCCAAGAAGAGAUUAAUAUUUUGCAGGAAUCUAUGGAAGAAGAAAUUGAUGAAACUCUGAGCUCAUUGGAUGAAAAAGAUGAUGAGGAGAGAGAAGAACAAAAGGAGGAAGAGAGGAUUGAUCACCCGUGCCCAUCUUCUAAUGAGAGUAACUCUUCAACUCAUACAUUGUUUAAUUCCCCUUCGUGCUUACCGAAGGAUGAUUGCUAUGGUCUCUUGAAUUUGUUUGAAAUAUCCCUUUUUGAUGAUGCUUGUUAUGCUUGUGGCCAAGAUGCCAAUAUGAAUUAUGCUUAUGGAGAUGAACUUUCUAUAGUUCCUUAUGUUAAACAUGAAAUUGUUGCUAUUGCACCCACGCAUGAUAGUCCUAUUAUCUUUUUGAGUUCUCCAAACUACACUAUAUCGAAGAAGUUUGUGCUUAUUAAGGAUUAUAUUGAUGGGUUGCGUUUUACUACUUUACAUGAUGAUUUAAUAGAUAUAAUAUGCAUGUGCUUGCUGCUCCUACUUGCCAUUAUUAUGAGAGAGGAACUAUGUCUCCACCUCUCUAUGUUUCCAACACGAUAG
rnacentral:rRNA from 1 species